rnacentral:antisense_RNA from 1 species
UUUCAUCUUGUUCUCUAAAUUUUUUGUACCUAUAUGCACCUAA